CAACAAACUUUAUGCAACCUUUGAUGAGCCUGGUCCAAUAAUGAUUCGCAGAAAAUAUGCCAGCAAUCAGACCUACGGUUUAGGAGAAGAUGUCAAAAAUGUGUUUUUCAAAAAAUUCAAAAUGGCGGAAAAUUUAGUCGGUGGACUUUCGUGGUCCAAGAGACUUUUUUUGUAGAUCACAUUCAGCAGCACAUGUCUGUCAAAUUUCAAAUUGAUAGGACUUAUGGUGUGAGGGGGCUGGCCUUGAAAAUU